GGGGAAUAUUGGACAAUGGGCGAAAGCCUGAUCCAGCCAUGCCGCGUGUGUGAAGAAGGUCUUCGGAUUGUAAAGCACUUUAAGUUGGGAGGAAGGGCAUUAACCUAAUACGUUGGUGUUUUGACGUUACCGACAGAAUAAGCACCGGCUAACUCUGUGCCAGCAGCCGCGGUAAUACAGAGGGUGCAAGCGUUAAUCGGAAUUACUGGGCGUAAAGCGCGCGUAGGUGGUUUGUUAAGUUGAAUGUGAAAUCCCCGGGCUCAACCUGGGAACUGCAUCCAAAACUGGCAAGCUAGAGUAGGGCAGAGGGUGGUGGAAUUUCCUGUGUAGCGGUGAAAUGCGUAGAUAUAGGAAGGAACACCAGUGGCGAAGGCGACCACCUGGGCUCAUACUGACACUGAGGUGCGAAAGCGUGGGGAGCAAAC
rnacentral:rRNA from 1 species